rnacentral:rRNA from 1 species
UACGGGGGGGGGCAAGCGUUGUUCGGAAUUACUGGGCGUAAAGGGCUCGUAGGCGGCCAACUAAGUCCGACGUGAAAUCCCCCAGGCUUAACCUGGGAACUGCGUCGGAUACUGGAUGGCUUGAAUUCGGGAGAGGGAUGCAGAAUUCCAGGUGUAGCGGUGAAAUGCGUAGAUAUCGGGAAGAACACCCGUGGCGAAGGCGGUUCUCUGGGACGGUACUGACGCUGAGACGCGAAAGCGUGGGAGCAA